AUAAACGCUAGCGGCAGGCCUAACACAUGCAAGUCGAGGGGCAUCGGAUAGAGUACUUCGGUACUCUUGCCGGCGACCGGCGGACGGGUGCGUAACGCGUAUGCAACCUACCUUCAACAGGGGGAUAAUCCGAAGAAAUUUGGUCUAAUACCCCAUAAUAUUCCGACAGGCAUCUGUUGGAGUUGAAAGCUUCGGUGGUUGGAGAUGGGCAUGCGUUGUAUUAGCUAGAUGGUGAGGUAACGGCUCACCAUGGCGAUGAUACAUAGGGGGACUGAGAGGUUUUCCCCCCACACUGGUACUGAGACACGGACCAGACUCCUACGGGAGGCAGCAGUGAGGAAUAUUGGUCAAUGGACGGAAGUCUGAACCAGCCAUGCCGCGUGCAGGAUGAAUGUGCUAUGCAUUGUAAACUGCUUUUGUACGAGGGUAAACACAGAUACGCGUAUCUGCUUGAAAGUAUCGUACGAAUAAGGAUCGGCUAACUCCGUGCCAGCAGCCGCGGUAAUACGGAGGAUCCGAGCGUUAUCCGGAUUUAUUGGGUUUAAAGGGUGCGUAGGCUGUUUUUUAAGUUAGAGGUGAAAGCUCGACGCUCAACGUCGAAAUUGCCUCUGAUACUGAGAGACUAGAGUGUAGUUGCGGAAGGCGGAAUGUGUGGUGUAGCGGUGAAAUGCUUAGAUAUCACACAGAACACCGAUUGCGAAGGCAGCUUUCCAAGCUAUUACUGACGCUGAGGCACGAAAGCGUGGGGAGCGAACAGGAUUAGAUACCCUGGUAGUCCACGCAGUAAACGAUGAUAACUCGUUGCCGGCGAUACACAGUCGGUGACUUAGCGAAAGCGUUAAGUUAUCCACCUGGGGAGUACGUUCGCAAGAAUGAAACUCAAAGGAAUUGACGGGGGCCCGCACAAGCGGUGGAGCAUGUGGUUUAAUUCGAAGCAACGCGAAGAACCUUACCAGGUCUUGACAUCGAUCUAAAGGCUCCAGAGAUGGAGAGAUAGCUAUAGAGAAGACAGGUGGUGCAUGGUUGUCGUCAGCUCGUGUCGUGAGAUGUUGGGUUAAGUCCCGCAACGAGCGCAACCCUUAUUGCCAGUUACUACGCAAGAGGACUCUGGCGAGACUGCCGUUGACAAAACGGAGGAAGGUGGGGAUGACGUCAAAUCAGCACGGCCCUUACGUCCGGGGCGACACACGUGUUACAAUGGCCGGUACAGAGGGUAGCUACCUGGUGACAGGAUGCCAAUCUCGAAAGCCGGUCUCAGUUCGGAUUGGAGGCUGAAACUCGCCUCCAUGAAGUUGGAUUCGCUAGUAAUCGCGCAUCAGCCAUGGCGCGGUGAAUACGUUCCCGGGCCUUGUACACACCGCCCGUCAAGCCAUGGGAGUUGGGGGUGCCUGAAGUACGUGACCGCAAGGAGCGUCCUAGGGCAAAACCGAUGACUGGGGCU
rnacentral:rRNA from 1 species